CCUCAUUUCAUAUUUUGUUAUUACACGAAAAAAACAUGCUUUUUAAAAAAGUAAUUUUAUUAUUACUUGUCAAUAUUUGUCUUGCAACAACUAAUAAUACGCCAGCAACGAAUGACGACAACGUUUUUAACAACUUAAUGGAUCUCUCGACGAAUGCGUUCGCAAAAGCGUACUGGUUAUAACAUUUAAGAUUUCCAGCGAUAGUAAGAGGUAUUAUCAAUUCUUUUUAAUAAACGAAUAAACAUA